AUUUCAAGCCUUUGUUUAGAUUUUAUUCUUCAGAAAUCAUAACCUUUCAUACUAUGUCUCAAUAGGGGUCUUCAGACUGCAUAAUUGCAUUUCUUACUAUGUAAGUGGUGUUCAGAGAACUGAGUGUGAAGUGAAUAAGGUCAUUCAUUCUACAAAGUAUCCAUAUUUGCCUCAAAACCAUUGAAUUUCCCUUUGUUUUAUCUUGUUAUUUUAUUUUUAAAGAUGCAGAACUAAAGAGGGGAGAUGAAAAGUUUACCCAUAACCAAAAUAUACAAGAUUACAAUCUUGCUCAAGAGCAGAAUAGAGCACUAAAGUUUUGCCUAAGAUGAAUAAACUUCCUUUUUUAUUCUCACUAGGUAUAAGGUUUUAAGCAACUGUGUUAUUAUAUACUGAGAUUAUAUGUUUGAGAUCCUUGGUAAUCUUACACUAAUACUAGUUAGAAUAGGGUAUAGGAAGGACCGGAAAAGAUAACAUUUUAUCUUCAGAUGGUUGUAGCAUUGAAAAAAACAAUGAAUUUCUGUUUUCUUAGCUGUACAUAUGUUUCUUUGGAAUACCCAUCUAUUAAAUAGGUAUUCGUGCAUUCACUGAUCAUUCAGUAAACAUUUAUUGAGCACCUGCCAUAUCUUGCUACGUAUUAUGCUAGGAACAAGGGUAAUAUUAAGAUAAAACCUGGAAGGAUACACACAAAGUGAUUCCAAAAGUCCAUGGUAGGUGCCAGCAUAUAAUCUAAUAGUUAACUUGAAUCUUAGGUAUGCACAAAAUAGAGAACCAUCAACUUUGCUUUGUGGAGGAGCAGGAAGAUGCUCAAGGAGUUUUACAGACAAAUGCUUGGACUGGCUUUGAAAAAAGAGUAGAGUUUUCAGAUAGAAAAGGCACAAAAGGACAUUUUAGAGAGAAGGGAGAGUAUAGGCAAAGGCAUGAUAAUGUAAAAUAAUAUGGGCUAUCCUGAAUAACCACAAAGCUGUUCAUUUUAGUUGGAAAGAGGAGAGUGUUGGACAAGGAGUUUGAAGAGGAAAAUAUGAUUAGUUCAUAGAAGGCUGGAAAUUUAUCCUAUAGAGUUUAUUCUUUAUCUUGAGGAUAAUUGGGAGCUUUUAAAUGUGGAAUAGCAAGACCAAUUUUCAAAAUGUGAAAGGUAAUUUGGUAGGGCCAAGGCUGGGAUAGGGAGAUGAUUCCUCAGGUUGACAUAUGUUAGAGCAUUUUAGAUCAAAGAUUGCAACUCUGGAAAAUAAAGUGGGAUCCGAGUUGCAUCUGUGACCUACACCAUAGCUCACAGCAAUGCUGGAGCCCCGACCCACUGAGUGAGGCCAGGGAUGGAACCUGCAGUCAGAUUUAUUUUUACUGCACUACAGUAGAAACUUCCAUAUGGUUUGUUUUUAAAUGCUUUUAGAAAGAGAGAGAGAGAGAAAGAAAAAACGAAAGAAAAGAAAAAUAAUUUUGUACAGAAGAAAAAGAAUUUCAGGUGGGAUCAUAUCAUUCGUUCAUUUAACUGGCUCAAUUAGGCUAUGAAGUUAUAUCCACAGGGAAAAUGUAGAUUCGCAUAUCCACACUUAGAAAUAUUCCUUCAACAUUCAAUCACCAAGUAUUUACUUAACACAUUAUUAGAGGUUGUUUAUAAGAUACAUUAGCAACAUUAAAAUUAGAACUUUGAAGGAUUUUUUGUGAAAUACUUAGCCAUUUUUUUAUGAUCUCUUGGUCUGCAAAGUAACUACUAUAGCAGGAUCAUAAAGAACUGACUAGAGCUCAAGAGAAGAGAACUAUUAGACUCCAGUCAGUUACCUUUGUCCAGGGCUGCAUGAACUGGUUUGUUCUGUUGGAGGGAACUGAAAUGUGUAUCCAUAGAUCUCACCAUGAUGAAAAAAAAUUUUCCACAGAAAAAGGAACAUCACAGAAAAUUGUCUUUUUCUUCAUCUUCUAAUCGGAAAGUUUGAAACUCUAACCAGUACUGUACCAAGACUGCUCAGGUUCCUGGCCAGUAGAUGGCUCUUUUUUUAAAGCCAAAAUGCUGUCCAAUGUACUAAAUUGAGAAGUUCAGAGUAGACUAUAUCAUAAAGAUGGUUGAAGUAAUGGAACUUAUGUCUUUGAGGCCAUUUCCUUCCUCCCUUUGUGAAUUUGAAUGGAGAGACAAUAUGAAUGUCAAGUGGAUCUUACUUGUCUUUAUAAUUAGGAUGCAAGCUCACCGAGUCUUCCUUUGAUGCUUGCAAAUUUACAUAGACUUUUCUUUCUAUGCCUCCCAAACCCCCUCUGUCCCUCCCUCUCUUCCUUCCUUUGUUUUUUGUCUCUUUAGUACUGCACCCAUGACAAAUGUACGUUCCCAGGCCAUGGGUCAAAUCAGAGCUGCAGCUGCCAGCCUAUGCCACAGCCAAGCAAUGCCAGAUCUGAGCUGUAUCUGUGACCUCUACCAGAGCUCAUGGCAACACCAGAUCCUUAACCCACUGAGCAAGGCCAGGGAUUGAACUUCAUCUUCAUGGAUACCAGUCAGGUUCUUAACCCACUGAGCCACAACGGGCAUUCCUCUACCCUUAUUUUCACAUUUCACUGCGUAACACGCUUUUCCAAUUCUUCUUCUGUAAUACCAUUAAGCAUCUCUCAUAUGAAAAAACUGAGAUUAUUUUAUUUUAAAGCCACAAUUUAUAUCUUAUUCCAAUCCAUAUUAUCUAAAUUAUUAGAUGUCAUCUAUAUUUUAGAUGAUGCUGGUUAAAAGGAGAGCUACAGAAAAAAA
rnacentral:lncRNA from 1 species